rnacentral:rRNA from 1 species
UACGAAGGGGGCUAGCGUUGCUCGGAAUCACUGGGCGUAAAGCGCACGUAGGCGGCUUGUUAAGUCAGGGGUGAAAUCCUGGAGCUCAACUCCAGAACUGCCUUUGAUACUGAAGAUCUUGAGUUCGGGAGAGGUGAGUGGAACUGCGAGUGUAGAGGUGAAAUUCGUAGAUAUUCGCAAGAACACCAGUGGCGAAGGCGGCUCACUGGCCCGAUACUGACGCUGAGGCACGAAAGCGUGGGGGAGCAAACAGG